rnacentral:lncRNA from 1 species
GUCUCGACAACACAUCUCUUGGAGUUCUAGCUCACCUUUCUAGUGUUGUUCCUAUACUCAUCUGUUUAAUCUAGUUCUGCCACUUCUUCUUGAACUUCUUGUUAGAUUUCAAGUCUGUAUUUUGUGUCCGUGACAAUGGACACUAACUUGUGGAAAAAAAAUAGAACUUACAACAACAUGAUUUUAAUAACUUUAAUAGAAUUAUAAAAAAAAAUUAAUUAAAUUAUAAC